rnacentral:rRNA from 1 species
AGUGAACGCUGGCGGUAGGCCUAACACAUGCAAGUCGAACGGCAGCACAGUAAGAGCUUGCUCUUACGGGUGGCGAGUGGCGGACGGGUGAGGAAUACAUCGGAAUCUACUUUUUCGUGGGGGAUAACGUAGGGAAACUUACGCUAAUACCGCAUACGACCUACGGGUGAAAGCAGGGGAUCUUCGGACCUUGCGCGAUUGAAUGGGCCGAUGUCGGAUUAGCUAGUUGGCGGGGUAAAGGCCCACCAAGGCGACGAUCCGUAGCUGGUCUGAGAGGAUGAUCAGCCACACUGGAACUGAGACACGGUCCAGACUCCUACGGGAGGCAGCAGUGGGGAAUAUUGGACAAUGGGCGCAAGCCUGAUCCAGCCAUACCGCGUGGGUGAAGAAGGCCUUCGGGUUGUAAAGCCCUUUUGUUGGGGAAGAAAAGCAGCAGGUUAAUACCCCGCUGUUCUGACGGUACCCAAAGAAUAAGCACCGGCUAACUUCGUG